UUCGCCGCUCUGGGCUGGAAGUCGGACAAGGCUCCGGUGGCGGCCAUGGUGGGCCGCUCCUGGGACGUGUUCCAGCCGCUCCUCUUCGGUCUGAUCGGCGCAGAGAUCACCAUAGCGAAGCUGAACCCCAGCACCGUGGGUCUUGGUUUGGCCUGCAUCGCUAUCGGUCUGGUGAUCCG